GAUGAACGCUGGCGGCGUGCCUAAUACAUGCAAGUCGAGCGAACAGACGAGGAGCUUGCUCCUCUGACGUUAGCGGCGGACGGGUGAGUAACACGUGGAUAACCUACCUAUAAGACUGGGAUAACUUCGGGAAACCGGAGCUAAUACCGGAUAAUAUAUUGAACCGCAUGGUUCAAUAGUGAAAGACGGUUUUGCUGUCACUUAUAGAUGGAUCCGCGCCGCAUUAGCUAGUUGGUAAGGUAACGGCUUACCAAGGCAACGAUGCGUAGCCGAGCUGAGAGAGUGAUCGGCCACACUGGAACUGAGACACGGUCCAGACUACUACGGGAGGCAGCAGUAGGGAAUCUUCCGCAAUGGGCGAAAGCCUGACGGAGCAACGCCGCGUGAGUGAUGAAGGUCUUCGGAUCGUAAAACUCUGUUAUUAGGGAAGAACAAAUGUGUAAGUAACUAUGCACGUCUUGACGGUACCUAAUCAGAAAGCCACGGCUAACUACGUG
rnacentral:rRNA from 1 species